GGAUUAGAUACCCUGGUAGUCCACGCUGUAAACGAUGGAUACUAGGUGUAGGGGGUACCAAUCCCUCUGUGCCGCAGCUAACGCAUUAAGUAUCCCGCCUGGGGAGUACGAUCGCAAGGUUGAAACUCAAAGGAAUUGACGGGGGCCCGCACAAGCGGUGGAGCAUGUGGUUUAAUUCGAUGCAACGCGAAGAACCUUACCUGGGCUUGACAUAUACUUGCCAGUCUUAGAGAUAAGAUGUUCCCUUCUGGGACAAGUAUACAGGUGCUGCACGGUUGUCGUCAGCUCGUGCCG
rnacentral:rRNA from 1 species